rnacentral:rRNA from 1 species
GACGAACGCUGGCGGCGUGCCUAAUACAUGCAAGUAGAACGCACAGUUUAUACCGUAGCUUGCUACACCAUAGACUGUGAGUUGCGAACGGGUGAGUAACGCGUAGGUAACCUGCCUGGUAGCGGGGGAUAACUAUUGGAAACGCUAGCUAAUACCGCAUAAUAUUGAUUAUUGCAUGAUACUUGAUUGAAAGAUGCUAUUGCAUCACUACCAGAUGGACCUGCGGUGUAUUAGCUAGUAGGUGAGGUAACGGCGCACCUAGGCGACGAUACAUAGACGACCUGAGAGGGUGAUCGGCCACACUGGGACUGAGACAAGGCCCAGAAUCCUACGGGAGGGAGCAGUAGGGAAUCUUCGGCAAUGGACGAAAGUCUGACCGAGCAACGCCGCGGGAGUGAAGAAGGUUUUCGGAUCGUAAAGCUCUGUUGUAAGAGAAGAACGGGUGUGAGAGUGGAAAGUUCACACUGUGACGGUAUCUUACCAGAAAGGGACGGCUAACUACGUG